rnacentral:rRNA from 1 species
UACGUAGGGUGCAAGCGUUGUCCGGAAUUAUUGGGCGUAAAGAGCGUGUAGGCGGCCAUUCAGGUCAGCUGUGAAAACUCGAGGCUCAACCUCGAGACGUCGGUUGAAACCGUUUGGCUAGAGUCCGGAAGAGGAGAGUGGAAUUCCCGGUGUAGCGGUGAAAUGCGCAGAUAUCGGGAAGAACACCGGUGGCGAAGGCGGCUCACUGGCCCAUUACUGACGCUCAGGCGCGAUAGCGUGGGGAUCAAACAGG